UACGUAGGGUGCGAGCGUUGUCCGGAAUUAUUGGGCGUAAAGAGCUCGUAGGCGGUCUGUCGCGUCGAUCGUGAAAACUUGGGGCUUAACCCUGAGCUUGCGGUCGAUACGGGCAUGACUGGAGUUCGACAGGGGAGACUGGAAUUCCUGGCGUAGCGGUGAAAUGCGCAGAUAUCAGGAGGAACACCGGUGGCGAAGGCGGGUCUCUGGGCCGAUACUGACGCUGAGGAGCGAAAGCGUGGGGAGCGAACAGG
rnacentral:rRNA from 1 species